GGAGUGGUACUUGUGGUUUUGGAGAGCAGAGUGCACUUAGAUCGACUUCAGACUGGAGAUACAGUGAUUUUAGAUCCUGUUACACUCUGUUCCUCCGGAUGUCUUCACUCAGCGCGUCACUUUUUCAGCUCCGUCUGGUUCAAACUCAGAUUUCUAUCUGUGAUCUUAGACUCUCUUGUGUGUGCGUGUCUUUGAUUGGUGCUAUUGUGAAUUAAGUUUGAGGCCUGCACUGAUUUUCCAGUUACUUCUCCUUUUGUCAGCAUUUAUUUUUUAAGCCUAAGCGCCCUUCAACAAAACUCUGAACCCUGCCUGCCAUCUAUUUUUACUUCUGCAUGAACUUCUCUUCUAAUGCCAUUCAUACAUUUUUUGUGAUCUUCCAGUCACUGUUGGUUUAACUGCUUAUUCUGUUCAAACAUGAAACUUUUAUAUAACACCUACAUUAAAAAUAACAUUGGAUAUAUUUGAUCUGGUACUGUGUGGGAGAAAGGAUUACAAGACAGAAAAAGAUCCUCGCAGGGAUCAACAAAGAAUCCUCUAAUAAGCAUUAAUAUGCUAAUAUAUUCCACCCAAAUGAAAUGCAUAAGACAGGUGGAUAAAGAGCUGAUACUGUGUUAAUUGUGCGACUGUGCCGGCAUGUAAUGAAAAUGUGCUUUGUAAUGUUUUAAGUCAAAUGUGCUGCUCUGCUGUAAGGACCUUCUUUCUUUCUUUCUUUCUUUGGCCUAAAUGAUCGCAGGUUUGGAGGAUUUAAAGAAGCACAAAACUUCGCUCUUUUUUUCAGUCGGGCCUGGGAGAAAGUUGGCCAUUGUCAUAUCAAAUUAAUUGUCAUAUUUAUUAAUUAAUCAGCCAGUAUUCAGAGGGUGUAUCUGGGCGAACUCACUUGUCCGAUCAGAUCUGACGAGACAGUGACGUGUGGACGCUCUUGCUGAAAGUUAUUAAAGGCUGUUUGUCAAAUUUGGAUGUUUUCACAAUGAAACAGGAAGUCAUAUUAACUCCUUCAAUCAGCUUUAGAUCAGUUUGAUAUUUCAUAUUCCUGAUCACGGUCCACCUCUGAGACCAUGUGACCGUUUUUUCUAUAGCUAUAGCGCUACCCAGUGGAAAUAUAUGGUAAUGAUAUUAACAUCCCAAUGUCUAAUCCCUCCUAAAUGUCACUCAUUAAAAGGUGGCCUGUGCCUGAGCUGGUCUAACGGCUAAAACCCACAGGAUCUGGAACAGCAGGCGGAUCAAACACGCGAGCAUUAUAAUCAAUGUGAGGCCGGAUCAGAUAAACAGCAGCACGGCACAUCAAUUCAAGAGCAGCAGUGGAAGUUUUAUGCAGCUACAAAGUAAAAUAUCCGGUAAUUUUCAAAAUAAAAUAAAGUCAGUAUGUUGAACUGUUCUUAGCUUGAUAAUAGGAGAGGUCAGCGUUGUGGGAUGUGGGUGUUUAUAUACACCAAUCGGUGGAUCUUAUUCAAUGUCUCACGAGGAAACACAGUUGUCCAGUCUCACGAGAAAUAUUGAUAAUCUCGCAAGUGCUUCUCCAAGAGCUGUUCCGGAUCCAGUGGGAUUUCCGGGUUAAAAUCCAUUUUUGUCAUCGUAAUAGGGCCACCUAUUGGACACAAGCAGUAUGACCUCUCAUAUCUGUUUUUUUUAAAAAGGUCUUCAAUCGUUACUCUAUUUUAAUGCACUGUCAUAAAAAGGCUUUAGAAAUGAUGAUUUUGCAAAAGUAAACAGAGUAUCUUUGGCUGCAUGACGGAUAGAAAAUGUUUGUCUUUUCUUUAAACCUCCACCAACAGUCAGCAGAGUUUGACAAAGAUUGACUGUAGUGAGUUAACAGUGAUGGUCCUUCACCAUAUUAUCCUCUUCACCACCUCACAGAUGUGGAUGGGUGAGCAGUGAGUGGUGUAAAAGCCGUCUGAGUGGUCAAAAAGACCACAAAAACACAAGGUAAGGGGAAAAGCACAAUCAAGGUGAGAGAAAACACACAGCCCACUUUUGUUCCUUUCUGCACACAGUCGGUUAUGGCCUUAAAAAGAGAGCCGCACAUAAACAGUCUCCUUUCUGAGAGGAAACUUCACUCUGGUUGUUGAAGUGGUAGAAAGAACCAAACAGGUAGUGAUCUUCAAGGCAGGCCUGGAUGAGUCAUCCUUUUCAUCCUGUUGUCAAACCGGCUGAAUAUGAGCGAUUCUGCAGGCCAGAAAAGGGUCAAUCAGAUGUUUUCCUUCGGCUGUUUGCAGAGUGAAAGGUUUUCCCGCUGACUGUUUAGGAGACGUCUACUUUUUGGGCAAAACAUUCCUGUGAAAAUCAAAACCUUCUUCGCCACAUUCGGUCAAACGGUUCGAAGAGGCAGCAAAGCAAACCUUGACAAAGUGGUUUAUUCUGGGGGCCGGCAGAAAAGAAAAGGUUUAAAGGACGUUAGUUUCAUAAAAGACUGGCCUGAACAAUUGGGUUCACAGACCCUCAGACUCCGGGUUGAUAACAUAUCCAGAAAAAUGAAGAGGCAGCACCACCUCUGCUCUACCUCCAACACCUCCAGAGAGCUGGGAUAAAUAAUUCAUGCUGGAUUUUGAAAAGACUUCGAAUGGCUCCAACAUUUGAUGUAGCCACAGAAUAAAAAAGACAGACGAGUGACUGAGCACACCCCAACCAGAGGAAACAACAGCACAGCCCAAUUUCUACCACAUGGGAUCAUUUUUGCCAAAGUCAGCUUUAUUGACACAGUUUGUUUUUCACCAACAUUCGCCAAAGAUAUCCUCCAGUCUUCACGCUCCAACCCAGUUUUACACCUUCAGAGUGACUCAAGACUGGUGCGUGAGACACUGCGAAUGACUCUGGGUGAAGAACCUCGAAAAUUAGGAAAAAUUGGCAGGAAUAUGUCGAAUCUUUUGAGUGGAAAACCAGACACUUUUCUUUGCCAAGACUUGAGAAGCUGUUUUUGAAAAGCCAAUAACUAAAUAAGCAUGAUUUCUUUUUUGGCUCGGAGAAAUGGAAGACUUUAUCUCAAUCAAUUAUUUUAAGACUUAGCUUUAUGAAACAAACACUGGCUGGACUUUGAUUUAAUGUAUUCAUUAACUUCACGUGAUGCCACACGCUCAUGGAGAUGGGUGAGGGACAACGUUUUCUGUUCCCAUCAGAAGAAAUGUCAGAGCUGGGAAAGACGUCACAUACGGUGGAACUAAGAUGACGGUGAAGACCCGGUCUGGUUGUUCUGUUUUUUUACCAUCUGGUGAUGGAGAUGGAGGAGGAGGAACAAUGCGGUUUUCGUCCCAGUCGCAGAACUAUGGAUCAACUCUUCACCCUCGCUCGGGUUCUUGAGGGGAGAUGGGAGUUUGCCCAACCAGUCCACAUGUGUUUUGUGGACUUGGAGAAGGCCUACGACCGUGUCCCCAGGGGAAUCCUCUGGGUGGUGCUCCGGGAGUACGGGGUGGAUGUUCCUUAUUAAGGGCCGUCCAAUCCCUUUACCAAAGGAGCACGAGCUUGGUCCGUGUAGCCGGCUGUAAGUCGGACUCGUUUCCAGUGAGAGUUGGACUCCUCCAGGCCUGCCCUUUGUCUCCGGUUCUGUUCAGAACCUUUAUGGACAGAAUUUAUAGGUGCAGUCGGGGGUGGAGGGUGUCCAGUUCUGCAGGCAGAGGAUCGCAUCGCUGCUUUUUGCAGAUGAUGUGGUACUUUUAGCUUCGUCGAGCAGUGACCUUCAGCUCUUGCUGGGGCGGUUCACGGCUGAGUGUGAAGCGGCUGGGAUGUGAAUCAGCACCUUCAAGUCCGAGGUCAUGGUCCUCAGUCAGAAAAAGGUAGAUCACCUUCUCCAAGUCGGAGGGGCGGUCCUGCCUCAAGUGGAGGAGUUCAAGUAUCUCAGGAUCUUGUUCACGAGUGAGGGUUGGAUGGGACGGGAGAUCGACAGGCGGAUCAGAGCGGCGUCAGCAGUGAUGCGGACGCUAAACCGAUCAGUGGUGGUGAAGAAAGAGACUCUCUGAUUUACCGGUCGAUCUACGUGCCGAUCCUCACCUAUGGUCAUGAACUUUGGGUAAUGACCGAAAGAACAAGAUCGCAGAUACAAGCGGCUGAAAUGGGUUUCCUCCUCAGGGUGUCCGGGCUCAGCCUUAGAGAUAGGGUAAGGAGCUCGGACACUCGGGAGGCGCUCAGAGGAGAACCGCUGCUCCUCCACGUCCAGAGGAGUCAGCUGAGGUGGCUCGGGCAUCUGGUUAGGACGCCUUCUGGACGCCUCCUGUUAGAGGUGUUCCAGACAUGUCCCACCGGGAGGAGACCUCGUGGCCGGCCCAGGACCAGGUUAUAUCUCUUGCCUGGCCUGGGAGCGCCUGGGAAUCCCCCUGGAGGAGGAGCUGGUGGGAGUGUCCGGGGUGAGGGCCGUCUGGGCUUCCCUCCUGAAGCUGCUGCCCCCGCGACCCGGACCAGGAUGAAGCGGAAGAAAAAAAAUGACGACGACAUGAUGGAGAUGAACUCAGCUUUGUUGGGUCUUUAUCAACUCCACUGAUGCAGAGAACAGAGUUCAGUCAUCAGCAUAUAAAACGACUCCAACAUUUUUAAACAAUAUACAAUAAAAUCAUGAAUAAAAACAGAGGCGGCCCCAAACUCCUGAGCUCCUAUAGAAGUCUCUGAAAACCAUGAAAAACCUUCUCUAGAGAUCCCACCUUUUAUAUUUGGUACCAAAGUGGCACAAAGAUGGACAGAGAUCAUUUCGAGGGAAAGCCUGACGAAGUGUUGCAGUGCUGCCGGGGAAGGUCACGAGUACCAGGUCACACUUUCAUCUCUGUGCGCUGAAAAAACCCUCACAUCCAAGAAAACCAGGUUCUUAAUUCAAGUCCAGAGAGGCUCGUCUGUGAACUCUAAUUAUCCAGGUAAUUUGCUCUGUGAUUUCUUCUUUUAGCAGAAAUUAAAAAGCGUCUUCUACCUUAUGCAAACCGGUGACCUGCCGCUCCUGAUCCAUGUGCUGUGGUACGUUUUCAGCUCGCAGCAGCUUUGUUGAUGAGGUCGGAGGGGUCGGAUUGCAGAUGGUAUACCGCAGAGUUUGUUCUUGUUAGAGACGGCAGCUAUUUACUCAGACAUCUGUUUCGCUGUGACCUCUAACCAAAGAAUAUGGAAGAAUGCUUUUGGAAAUGAGGAGCAUAAAAACAGUCGACCACAUCCCCUCACGUUUGGAUUUUAUAAACUCCUGUUUGUCUGAAGACUGAGAGAAAACAGAGAUGGGACCUGUUCGUUUUUUUAUACUCACCUGUAAUCAGUCAAAAUUAACAACCAGCUUUCACUGCAGCAGAUGGCAGAUACACUUUUAAACAUCAUCACUGAAUCCACAAUAAACUGGAUAAUGUCUUUUCACUGAAACUGUAAAUGUCAGUCUAAAGGGACGUCCAUAUUGACAGUCAGACAGCGGUGCUAACGGGAUGUCCUUUCAUUUUA
rnacentral:lncRNA from 1 species